GACGAACGCUGGCGGCGUGCUUAACACAUGCAAGUCGAACGGAAAGGCCCUGCUUUUGUGGGGUGCUCGAGUGGCGAACGGGUGAGUAACACGUGAGUAACCUGCCCUUGACUUUGGGAUAACUUCAGGAAACUGGGGCUAAUACCGGAUAGGAGCUCCUGCUGCUUGGUGGGGGUUGGAAAGUUUCGGCGGUUGGGGAUGGACUCGCGUCUUAUCAGCUUGUUGGUGGGGUAGUGGCUUACCAAGGCUUUGACGGGUAGCCGGCCUGAGAGGGUGACCGGCCACAUUGGGACUGAGAUACGGCCCAGACUCCUAAGGGAGGCAGCAGUGAGGAAUAUUGCACAAUGGGCGGAAGCCAGAUGCAGCAACGCAGCGUGCGGGAUGACGGCCUUCGGGUUGUAAACCGCUUUCGCCUGUGACGAAGCGUGAGUGACGGUAAUGGGUAAAGAAGCACCGGCUAACUACGUG
rnacentral:rRNA from 1 species